AGCAGCUCCAUGAGGAGGUAUCACGGGGAGAACGGGGUCUUCCUCCCCUCCCAGGACUCUGGUGCCAGGCUGGGUCCCAGCAGUGAGAUGUUCAGCAUUUGAUAAUUUCAGAAACAGUGGCAUCUAACUUCUUGGAAGACCAGCUAAUUCUCCAUUCUCUGUGCUACUGGAGAGUUGAAGUGGUCAGACACAAAAUAUUGCAAAACUUUAAUGAAGUCUAUCUUAAGAGCAUCAUAUGUAGCAACAGUAGAAUUCCCUGAAGCUGAAAUGGUCCAGGACUCUUGAAUGACCAUCAUCUCCCUUAAUCUGGUGUCCAGAGUUAAAUUCAGUGCAAUACAUUGCAGAAGCAGAUACUCCUAAUGACCUCAGGCUUGUCAUUGAAGUGUUACAAAUUCAGCUGGAGCCCUUGAACUGCCUUUAAAUAAGCUGCUUUAGAUGUGGAGGAAGGUCUCGUUGAGCUUGUUGGUGAAAAGAGGCUCAGGAAGGUCCCGGAAGAACUGCUUCACCAUAUCUGCCACGUCGUAAGCGGAUUGGUCCUCGUAGCUGACGUUCUCAGGAAAGCUCUCGUUCAUUUGACUUUGGAAUGUCUAGAAAAUGCAGAACGUUGCCAAGAAGAAUCUAAAGAGCAUUUCUCUUCCUCUGGCAACUGCUCCAAAUUUCAUCAGAG